ACGGCAGAUGAUACUGCGAGACUUGAGUAAUGGAGGGGGAAGCGGAAUUCUCGGUGUAGCAGUGAAAUGCGUAGAUAUCGAGAGGAACACUCGUGGCGAAGGCGGGUUCCUGGACAUUAACUGACGCUGAGGCACGAAGGCCAGGGGAGCAAAAAG
rnacentral:rRNA from 1 species